AGUUUCCAGUUUUCAAAAACCUAAAUCUGCUGUGAACAGAUCUGCUCUCCCUUCAACUUUGCUUGGAUGCAACUCAGUGUAGCUCCAACCACAGUCAUGAAGAGACUAAAUCUGUCACAAAAGCAAUCUACCGCUCUGUUUUCCAAGCUUUAGUGGAGUUAAGAACGGAGCAAAUACUGCGCAUCACUUUCAGACCUCUGCAGGUAGCGAGGAACAUCACCAGCUGGUGAAGCAAGAAACAGCUUGGAAACUCAAACUAACUUCAUCUGCAGGAGCUUAGUGAUAAAGUGGCCAGUGAUACAUAAGAAAAGGAUCUGUCUUUUGAAUUUAUGAGAGACUAUUCACCUCCAAGCCAAGGUUGAGGAGAUGUGAGUCCUUAAGGGAUCAUAAAAGACCUUCAGGCUGCUCUGGACCACAAGAAUUAUCUCUUCUUUGGCAUGACCGGGACUGAGGAAUAUCCAGCAUAUAUGUGAGAGCAGAGGAGGUACUCUUCCUCCUGCAGAUAAAAGUAGCAGAGCAGCAAGAAGGUGAAAAAAAGAAGCAGACCUAGUACAAAAAAUCCCACUACUCCAUAAGUGCCAAGUACACGUUCCUACCCCUGCAACCCUCCUCUCUAAAAUCUUAAUUUAUCCUCUUCCACAUGAGACCUCAGGACAACUGUAAUUCAAGAAAUGAGGGAUGCAAAAAAUGCCUAAAUCCAGGUUUCUUUUUUGUUUUCUGCUCACCAAACAGGGAACAAGCACAUCCCCAGAUCUAGCUGCAUGAUGGCUGUGCAUGAGCAUUGUUAAUCCAGUGGAGUCACUUAGAGUGCAUUACCCUUGAACAAUGUACUGUUUUGAUUCAAUGGAAAAAUAAAGUUUGAGUUAUCAUG
rnacentral:lncRNA from 7 species